UCACUGAGCGGGUCACCUUGUCAUAGAACGAAAUCAAGUUUGUCAGGCAGGAUCUACCAUUCAUGAACCCAUGCUGACUGGGCCUGAUCCCCUGGCUGACCUUGAACUGAUCCAUGAUGGCUCUUUCAUUAUCGUUAAUUUUGCUCAGUAGUUAGAUUUUGGUGCGUGAUUAUUUAAAAAUAAUCUAAUGGACGCUGGCAAAUAAUUAAAAAAAAAAAAAAGCAUGACGCCAUCAAUUGGAUGGAUUUUUUCUUCUUAGCCUAUAUUCACAAGCACUUGGCAGAGGUUUCCAGGGUUUGGAGAAGUUUUCCUUGGUUUUCUUCUUUUUUUUUUCUUCCUUUUUCCCCUCUAAGUUGAUGUUCUUCCCCUGUCAGUGAAAGAAAGAGAGAAUGGAACGCCAGGGGCUGUGCUGCGGGCCCACAUCAGUCCCACAGGAGAAGUUCUUGCUGAGGUCUCUCCAGCUGCUGAUCCUUGCCCGGAUGCUGCUCAGCAAUGGAAAACUGCAUGUCCCGUAAUGCCCCGGACCCCAAUUUCGGCGACUCGUUGCCCGAACAGGUCAGGGCAAUGUACGCACACAGGUAUUUCCCCAUUGCACAAUGCAGUGCUCCCAGAACUCAUUGCAGCUCUUUAGGGCACCUUCCAGGCCGCCUGCCCUUUUCCUCUCACCUUUCCCCAGGUUUCCUCCUUGCUUUGCCCUGUUGUUCCCGUUGCCUUCCUCUGUGUUGCUCAGGCAUUGCACUUCCUUUGUGAAUAUCAAAUUCUUGAGCGCUGCCACUCUGCGAGGGAGUUAUCCAAUCGCUUCACGUUGUGCCCUGGGCCCAGAAAAUCCCCUGAAAACGACCCAGAGAAGUCACCCUACAAGUAACGCUAACAGUAAUCUCAAUCCUAAAGGUAGCUCUAACCUCAGUGCUAACAGAAUGCUCAUCAUAACGGUAAUGGCCCUAAAAGUCCUGGUAGCAUAACAGAGGUGCCGGGCCGUCCCUUCAGUAUCGUGUUGUGUUAAACGCGGGCGGCAGCGGAGCAGCAUGUCGCUCCCGGGCGGUACAAGUUUCUCAAAUGCUGCACUGCAGGAUUCAGCAUUUGUGAAGACAGUGCUACCAUUCUGCAGGAGAGCUGUCUGGUCGGGUUGCACUGCAUCUCUCUGUGCCUUACAUCUCUCUCCGGGGCGCAGGAGCAUGGAGGCACAUUGUGCGUACGGGGUCAGAUUUGCGGGGCAGGCGAUUCCCUUGGUGGGGUCUGAGUGGUGGGGCCAGAGCCUGAACCCAGAUGAGCUGAAGGCCGCCCAGAUUUGCUUAAGGCCUCCGGGGCCCUAUGCCCCCGAGGCCAGUGGCAGUCAGUGCCAAGAGCUCCUGGCCUCGGGGCUCAGUUGCUGCAGCUUGCUGGAAAAUAUUCCCCCAGUCUUACAGGUUUUCCUCCCAGUAAGUUCGUACUCUGUUCCGCUUAUUGAGCGUGUAUCCCUAGAAGGAUGAUUGCAGAAGGAGAAGAAGAGACAAGAUGGUGUGAAGCCUUUUGAAAACAAACCAAACACCAGAAAAGAAAACCCGCCCCAAACUGCACUGACCCAACGCGGGCAGCAGGCUGAGUGCUGGAAGGCUUUGGGAACUGUUCUGUUGCUCCCUUGUGAUUCAAUUAGCCAUGAGCUUGCACGUCUCAAUUUCUCCUCUUUUGGAUGCUGUAACCGAGGCACACCAGCUCGAGCGAGUAACGGACAAGCUGUGCACAUCAAUAUGAUGCAAAAGCAACGCCGUUUAUUAGUCUUAGUGCAGUUUCUUAUGUAGAGAUAUCAAGCACGUUGGCUCAAUCAGAUAAGCAAGUUACCACCAUGCAGUCGUUAAUCAGCUGCCUGUCAUCAAGCUCCUUUGAAGUAGAACUCGUGGCGUCGUCUUGUUCUGAGCAUCUGCCAAGGUCCGGGCCGUCCGUGCUUCUGAUCAGGACUGUAGCUGUCCUCUCAGAUGUCCCGUUCAGCGUGCCACGUUGCCACAGCAUCGUUCCGGAGAUUAGCUCCAUACAAUAGCAGCAUCGUUAACAAGGUACAGCACGACUACAUCGUUAUCUUCCUUGCGUCACUGCGGCGUCUGCCCCCACUCCCGCUGCCUAUGAGCGAAGUUCCUCGUGGUACAGAGCUGUGCAGCCGGCUGCCUAGACCAAAUAUGCACAACGUUGGAGGAGAUCACGCAUUUUUUUCAUGCUUUUGACGUAUGAGGCUGGUGUAUGCCUUCAAGCAGGUGACGCUGAGAAGCGUGACUCACGACGGCUGAUGCAUCCCUCCUGCUUCCUAUUCAUUCUUCCUUUGGGUCAAAAGCAGAGCAAAUCCAUGAGAAUUGUGACUGGGAGCCCCGCUGUUCUGAGGCCGCUUGUCAGUCUCAAGCGUGGUGCCCGGGGGCAGAUCCCGGCACCGGUGCCAAAGGGAAGAGCUGCCGACGAAUCGCUCCGUAUCCAAACCCAUCCCAGGGAUAUUUUCAAGCCUUGGGUGAAGCUCGGCCUGGUGGGGCCAGGUACAGAAGCUGUUACUGCUCUGCUUUUUCUAAAAGUGGCUCCGCUGUUUUGCGUUGCUCUGUUAAUUGUUCUGAACCACCCUUGGCUUCGCUGCACGCACCUGUGCAAUUUAUACCAGCUUUUUUAAUCACCUCAGACACUGGCAAAAAAAAAAAAAAACAUGACGGCAUCAAUUUGAUAUAUACGUAUAUAUUUUUACACAGACAUUCAUAAGCACUUAGCACUGGUUUCCAGGGUUUGGAGAAGUUUUCCUUGGUUUUCCUCGUCUUUUUAAUUUAAUUUUUAUUUCUUCUCCCCCUCCUCUCCUAACCCUGUGUUCUUCCCGAUCGUCAAGGACCUGCCGGCCCGCGCCCCCCCCGCAGUUCUUUCUUUCCGCGGUCUCUGCUGCCACCUGGUGGCCAAGCCGCGGAACUGCCGCUGUCUGUUUGGUCCUGCAGGCAGCACGGCGCAUGCGCCCAGAAAUGCGGAAGUAGCGUAUCUACGUGCUAACCGCUCUGCGCAGCUAAUCCACCCAUCCUGUGAUGAGUCCUCUAGGCAGUAGUGCGCAUGCGCCCGAAAACUUAAAAAUAGCGUCCGUUUCUACGACCCUCUCUGAGUCGGGCGAGCAGUCAAUCCUUGGACCGCCGGCUCAGCGACAUUCCCCGCCCCUUCCACUUCAGGACGGCAUUGGUCUAUUUCCUCGGGCGGCUUUACGCCCGAGCUCGCCCCGGGAACACGGACCGUUUUCGCUCCCAGCGGCCCCUGCGCGCACUGCGGCACCCGAUUGGCUCGGCGUUGCACGUGAUCGUCAGCUCCUCCCCCCCCCCCCCAACCGGCACUGCGCACGCGCACUAGCGGAGCGGUACUCGCUGCUGCCGCCCAUGGAAGAGGAUUCGGUACCGCAGGCGCUGCGCGGGUCCUGCAGAAAUGGCGGAUCUGAGUUCUGACCCCUCUGCGCAGCUAACCCACCAAGCCUUAUUGUAACUAGUCCUCUAAACAACAGCACACACGCGCUGGAAGAUGUACAGAAGGCAUGGAUUUCCUCCUCGCUACUUCAGCUGCAGGAGAGCAGAGCGGGCACAGACCGUCAGCUCUGAGCAAUGCUCCCCAGUCUGCGGAGCGAGGUCUCUUCCCUAUUUCCACAUCUUUAUGCCUGAGCCGAGAAGCGACCAUUUUGUCUCAAGGCUGCCCAUGUGCAUGCCAUGACAUCCCAUUGGCUCGUUGUGGCACGGGAUUGACAGCUGGCCGCCCCAACACCGCGUGUACGCACGAGCUCCUGAGGCUCUCGCUGCUGCCCCCAUUGAAGAGAAUUCAGCGCUGCAGGCGCUGCUCUGCACACACAAGCAGCUUUGUUUCCUGGAGCUGCUCGAGGGCAGCGCGAGCAUCAGUCUUGCGCCGCUGCAGGUUCCCAGGCCCGAGAACGGAUAGGCUCGGCUCACAGCUUCCCCUGAGCGCCUCGUGGCUUCCUUCUUGCUCAUUACCACGGCGGACUGACAGUCGUCCCCCAGCCAUUUAAAUGCGUUCCCUGCAGCAGGGGACUGGGAACAGCCUGGAGAUUCGUGGGGCAUGGCGUUGGCAUGGAGCAGCCCCAACAUCGCAGCAACCCGGGCUGGGCACAGAGUGGCUCCAGGGUCAGCCCCAGCCGAGUUUACUAGGAGCUGCUGAAUGGAAUUCUCCACCCUCUCCGGGCCCCUCGCCAUGGGCUGCAGGUCAGCGGCCACGCGCACUCGGCAAAGCCAUAUUGCUCGGCGCGUGCCCGCGUCCACGGCAGUCCCGUGCACGCGCGUGCCUGCAGUACCGCCCGGCGACCAGCGGAGGGCAGCAGAGAGCCGCGGCGCUGAGGCAGACAGCAAGGCGCUGUGCCCGCAGACCGCCUGCUUCCACCGUGCCCUCAGCCGGCGCAGCCCCAAACCCACCCUGGAAAUGGGCGCUGCCCCCUCCCCAUGGCUGCCCGCUACUCACCUUUGCCCCCAACCUCUCCUUCCCCCUCAGCGUGGCCCUGGGGGUCCUCCCCCAAACGCCGUCCCCUAGACAAGGCACCUGACUGCCUUCGUUUCACCUCAGAGUGCACUGGCACUGAAACGCCCUGUUUUUGCCUUAAAUGUUUGCCCUAAUUUCCCUGUGUCUGGCUUCAAAUGCUGGACCCAGAGCCUCGCUAUUUCACCCCAAGCUCCAGUCUCAGACUCACUAUUUCUCCAAACACCAGCCCCAAAUCCUCACUAUUUCACCCCAAACUCCAGCCUAGCGGUGAGGUUGGGGCUGGUGUUCAGCACAGUCUGCACCUAGAACAGAAUUUGGGGCAAAUAACGAGGGGGGAACCGAAUGAGACGGGGGGGGGGACUACAGAAUCAUAGAAUUGCUCAGGUUGGAAAAGACCUUCAAGAUCAUCAAGUCCAACUGCAGCCUCACCAUACUACUCUAACAACCCACCAUAAAUCAUGUCCCCGAGCACCACA